rnacentral:rRNA from 1 species
UCCGUAGGUGAACCUGCGGAAGGAUCAUUAAUGAAUUUUAGGACUCUCUUUUUAGAGGUCCGACCACUUCAUUUCCUUACACUGUGCACACACUUCUUUUCACACAUUUUAACACAUCAGUAUAAGAAUGUAACAGUCUCUUAAUUGAGCAUAAAUAAAAAUAAAACUUUCAGCAACGGAUCUCUUGGCUCUCGCAUCGAUGAAGAACGCAGCGAAUUGCGAUAAGUAAUGUGAAUUGCAGAAUUCAGUGAAUCAUCGAAUCUUUGAACGCACCUUGCACUCUUUGGUAUUCCGAAGAGUAUGUCUGUUUGAGUGUCAUGAAACUCUCAACCCCCCUGUUUUGUAAUGAAACGGGCGUGGGCUUGGAUUAUGGUUGUUGUCGGCGUAAAUGCCGGCUCAACUGAAAUACACGAGCAACCCUUUGAAAUAGACGGUUUGACUCGGCGUAAUAAUUAUUUCGCUGAGGACGUCUUCUUCAAAAGUAAGCGGUGCUUCUAAUGCGCUUUUAAAGCAUCUUAAGCUUUAGACCUCAAAUCAGUCAGGACUACCCGCUGAACUUAAGCAUAUCAAUAAGCGGAGGA